rnacentral:rRNA from 1 species
GACGAACGCUGGCGGCGCGCUUAACACAUGCAAGUCGAGCGAGAACCAGCCCUUCGGGGCUGGGGAAAGCGGCGAACGGGUGAGUAACACGUGGGUAAUCUGCCCUCGGCACCGGAAUAGCCCGGGGAAACCCGGAUUAAUGCCGGAUGGCCUCUCGAGCUCUCGAGCUCGUGAGAAAAGGUAGCUUUGGCCUCCGGCCGAGGAUGAGCCCGCGGUCGAUUAGCUUGUUGGUGAGGUAAUGGCNCACCAAGGCGACGAUCGAUAGCUGGUCUGAGAGGACGAUCAGCCACACUGGGACUGAGACACGGCCCAGACUCCUACGGGAGGCAGCAGUGGGGAAUCUUGCGCAAUGGGCGAAAGCCUGACGCAGCGACGCCGUGUGCGGGAAGAAGGCCUGGUGUAACGC